CGGGAAGAGCUCAAAUUUAAAAUCUGGCGUUCUUUGAGCGUCCGAGUUGUAAUCUAUAGAGGCGUUUUCUGUGCUGGACCGUGUCCAAGUUCCUUGGAACAGGAUAUCAAAGAGGGUGACAAUCCCGUAUUUGACACGACUACCAGUGCUCUGUGAUACGCUCUCGACGAGUCGAGUUGUUUGGGAAUGCAGCUCUAAAUGGGUGGUAAAUUCCAUCUAAAGCUAAAUAUUGGCGAGAGACCGAUAGCGAACAAGUACCGUGAGGGAAAGAUGAAAAGCACUUUGAAAAGAGAGUGAAACAGUAUGUGAAAUUGUUGAAAGGGAAACGAUUGAAGUCAGUCAUGUCUCGAGGGGUUCACUUGUCUCUGGCAAGGUAUUCCCUUCUUGAUGGGUCAACAUCAGUUAGAUUCGGUGGAUAAGAGCAGGGAGAAUGUAGCUCCCCCGGGAGUGUUAUAGCUUUCUGUUGCAUACACUGGACUUGACUGAGGACCGCAGCUCGCCGUAAGGCUUGGCUUUGGCCAAAUACG
rnacentral:rRNA from 1 species